UACGUAGGCAGUAAGCGUUGUUCGGAAUUACUGGGCGUAAAGGGUGUGUAGGCGGUUCUUUAAGUUUGGUGUGAAAUCUCCCGGCUCAACCGGGAGGGUGCGCCGAAUACUGAGGGACUAGAGUGUGGGAGAGGAAAGUGGAAUUCCUGGUGUAGCGGUGAAAUGCGUAGAUAUCAGGAGGAACACCGGUGGUGUAGACGGCUUCUGGACCAUAACUGACGCUGAGACACGAAAGCGUGGGUAGCAAACAGG
rnacentral:rRNA from 1 species